CACAGCUGGGAUUGAACCUGCAACCCAGGUAUGUGCCAAGCCCUUGUCAUUUACAUGCGUUGCAGGUAUCCUUCCCAGUUUGGGGCUUGCUUGAAUUUUCUUGGGUGCCUUUUUAUAGCAGAAGGUCUAAUUUGUAAAGUAAUUAGAUUUUAUCUAUUCUUCCUCUUUUUGGCUCCUCUUCGCUGCCCACACAUGCUCUCUUCCUGCACGCCCCUACUGAACUGACAAUUCCAGACCGGCACCCUCCAGCCUCCAAGCUCAUCUCAGCCCCACUUUAGCCUCAGUCCUUUUUCAGGAGCCUGUGCUCUCACCUCCACUCUUUCCCGGCUGCAGAGACCUCCCCCGGGGCGGCUCGCAGAACCAAGUCAUCCCCAAAACCCAGCUCCAGCACAACCGCCUGUCUUUAUCUAAUUUGUUUGUUUGUUUGUUUAUUUUUACAGCCCAAAGUGUCUUGCUGUUGUUGUUUUGGUAUUGUCCUGGUUUUUUAAAUACCUAUUGAGCCAUGAAUUCACAGGGAAGGGGAUCCAGCAGCUCGGACUCCUUCCCGCGGUUCUCACAAGGCAGGCCUCUCUGGGCGGACCAGGCUGGCGCUUCGGUCGAACCCAGAUUCACGUGUAGGUGGCCAGAGGAACAACUCCGUGUUUCUGAAAGGCCCAGGGGACACGCAGCGGAGUCUCUUCCCCUUCCCGUUGUCUCGGCCGUUUCGGUGAAUUACUAGAAGAUAAAGAUGCUGCUGAGAGGCACAACCUCCUCUUUUUAGGAGCAUCUCCAGGCGCCCACGGCUGAGCCACUUCUUCCUCUAGUCCGUGGGCCCAGGCCUUGCUAGGCAUCAGCGGACACACACCACCUGCAGUGCUUCCCCAGAGCGAUGGUUUCCAGAUCCUUCUGCACCUGCUCAUCCCCUUGUGAAUGGACCGCAGACGUUUCCAGAUGCCUCACACACUGCACACGCAUGUUCGAGGAAAACCCCAGGGCCGGUCUGACGGCACAGAGGGGGCCCCAAUCCCGCCCACGUGAGUUACUGGUGCAGCCGAGGAGGCUGGGGGCCGCGCUGGCAACCAGGGCAGCCCUGUGGUCCACACUGCACCCAGGAGCUGGUGAAAACCUGCAGAUCUUCUCAUGGGAAAAGUCACCAGUUUGUUUAUCUGCCUCCGAUCUCUCCCUCUGGAGGCAGGGUAUCCACAGAACCCAACCUCACUGCUUUGACGUCGCACACCCACCUUUUGAAAAAGUUUUCUUUUGUGCCUGUGUUUAGCUCUCCCCCCGGUUUCAUGACCAGCAGCACAAAUUUAAUGAGAAAGAUACUGUGUGUGUUUUAACGUUACGUUCCAAGGAUAACACCCGUGGCAAUGAGCCUGUUUGGAGCCUGUCCCCCUGCACUCUGGUUUGUGUGUCAGGCUCCGACCCAGCAGGCGGGGUCAGGGAAGGUGCACGUCUCUUCGCCAGGCCCAGGGCGAGGCCGGCUUUGCCAGGGCUGCGGACAGUGACAGCCCGCCUCCGCCGGCCGCCCCGGCCAGGAACGUCUGAGUAAUCUUGGACUCGUGUCUGUCCUGCCUCCUAUUGCCUAAUCCUGCCUAGCCUUCGUUAAAAACAUCUCGCUCCUUCACUUUCUCUCACUUGUUCCUCCACACGUUUCUCCUGGGCCCACAGUGCUUGUGCCAGAGCCUGAGACUGGUCUCGCCAACACAGACUCCCGGAUAUUUACAAGCAAUUCCCGAAGGGGUGCCAAGCCCCUGGGGGUGUCUCUCAGACUGCGCCCUGAUAGGAGGACUAGGAGUUGGUCAAACCAGUCGCUGGAAGACUCACAUUUCAAGCCAAGGAAACAAAGGAAUGUCCACUGGUCAGCACUGGGAUGUGAGCAGAGGGUGCCAGGCCUCCUCCUAAGGAAGGUUUAGGUUGGGCGGUGCCCUGACUGAAGACGCAGAGGCAGUGGAGGGAGGCAGCCACUGGGGGUGUGGGUGGGAAGCAGAGACGGAGAGACGUGGGUUCAGGGCCAGCAGAGGGAGCAAGGAAGGAAAGGGGGCAGCAGUGAUUGGAUGGAGGGAGGAGUUAAAAGGGGUGAUGAUGCCUUGAAAAGCAUGCUCCUAGGAGAGGAACAUUCUAGAAGCAGGUUAGGUGGUCGGAGAGCGAGGAGAUGAGGACUAGGUUUAGGAGGGCCUUUGCUGUGAGGAGGUGGGUGGCUGAGGAGCCAGUUGCUCACUCCCGCCCCCACCGCCUCUGGGGCUCCUCAGUCCCCUCCCCUUUCUGCAGUCACGAGACCCUUUGCUCCUUUUCUCUGCCUGCCUCCUGCCUCAGGAGGAUGCUGGACCAGGCGUCCACCCCAGAGGGUCUUCAGGAGGGGUUGAAUACCCCCUACACCCCCUACCCUACCCCAAGCCCAGCAUAUUCACAGCUCACCAACUUUUGCAUCUCAGUCACCUGGGUGAGUAUGGAAGGGGCAAGUGAGAGCUGCCUGGGAACCAAGGAGUUCAAAAUACUGGCCAAGGCCCGGGAAGGCACUGUUCAUGUUAGGGCUUUGGGAGAUGGGUAGGUCUGGACUAAGCAAAGAGGGUAUUCAGUGAGAGAACCACGGGCUUCUCUGAAAACAGACCAAUAAUCAGGAGAUUCCUUGAUGAACAUAGAAUGACAGAAGUAAACGUUUGGGCAUAUUUUUAAGUAAGUUACAUUGAAAUAUAAUUAUACCUAGACUACAAAAUUCCCCCGUUUAAAGUGUACAAUUCAGAGGUUUCUAGUAUAUUUGCAGAGCUGUGCAACCAUCACCAAUCAUUUCACUAGAACAUCUUCAUCGUCCCGUGAAGAAACUCCAUACCAUUGGCAAUCACUCCCAUUCCCCCUCCCUCCAACCCCUGGCACCACUCAUCUACUUUCUGUCUAUGGAUUUGCCUAUUCUAGACAUUUCACUUAAAUGGAUUUAUACCUAUGUGGCCUUUAUGACUGGCAUCCUUCACUUAGUGUAAUCUUUUUUAAAAUAUAUACUUUUACUUAUUUCAGAGAGGAAGGAAGAGGGAGAGAGAGAUAGAAACAUCAAUGUUGAGAGAGAAUUAUUGGUCAGC